rnacentral:rRNA from 1 species
CAGUCGCCGCGGUAAUACGUAGGUGGCAAGCGUUGUCCGGAAUUAUUGGGCGUAAAGGGCUCGCAGGCGGUUUCUUAAGUCUGAUGUGAAAGCCCCCGGCUCAACCGGGGAGGGUCAUUGGAAACUGGGAAACUUGAGUGCAGAAGAGGAGAGUGGAAUUCCACGUGUAGCGGUGAAAUGCGUAGAGAUGUGGAGGAACACCGGUGGCGAAGGCGACUCUCUGGUCUGUAACUGACGCUGAGGAGCGAAAGCGUGGGGAGCGAACAGGAUUAGAUACCCCAGUAGUCCCUGUCUCUUAUAC